rnacentral:rRNA from 1 species
GAAGCGAUUAGUUUACUAAGAGCGGAGAUGUCGCUAUCUUAGUGGCGGACGGGUGAGUAACGCGUGGGUAACCUGCCUUACACUGGGGGAUAACACUUAGAAAUAGGUGCUAAUACCGCAUAACAGAGGGAGUCGCAUGACUUCGUCUUAAAAACUCCGGUGGUGUAAGAUGGACCCGCGUCUGAUUAGCUUGUUGGCGGGGUAACGGCCCACCAAGGCGACGAUCAGUAGCCGGCCUGAGAGGGUGAACGGCCACAUUGGGACUGAGACACGGCCCAAACUCCUACGGGAGGCAGCAGUGGGGAAUAUUGGACAAUGGGGGGAACCCUGAUCCAGCGACGCCGCGUGAGUGAAGAAGUAUUUCGGUAUGUAAAGCUCUAUCAGCAGGGAAGAAAGAAAUGACGGUACCUGACUAAGAAGCCCCGGCUAACUACGUGCCAGCAGCCGCGGUAAUACGUAGGGGGCAAGCGUUAUCCGGAUUUACUGGGUGUAAAGGGAGCGUAGACGGCGAUGCAAGUCUGAAGUGAAAGGCGGGGGCCCAACCCCCGGACUGCUUUGGAAACUGUAUGGCUGGAGUGCAGGAGAGGUAAGUGGAAUUCCUAGUGUAGCGGUGAAGUGCGUAGAUAUUAGGAGGAACACUAGUGGCGAAGGCGGCUUGCUGAACUGUAACUGACACUGAGGCACGAAAGCGUGGGGAGCAAAC